UUCCUUCAUAUGAAGAAUGCUCUUCGGAAAAUACUUUUCAUUAAAUAGCUUUUGAAACUCUGCUCAAGACAAUUUAGGUGAUGAAUGAUAUGUACGAUUCAUUGAUUCUCACCAGUGGUCUACCUCUCCUCAUAACAUAAAAGUAGUGAAGGGAACCUUUUGAUCAUCAACGCAAUGCAGUACAUCAUAUAUCUUUGUCAUUUAUUUGAGCACGUCUUUGCCUUGAGUGGG
rnacentral:lncRNA from 1 species